rnacentral:misc_RNA from 1 species
GAUGAAGAACGCAUCGAAAUGCGAUAAGUAAUGUGAAUUGCAGAAUUCAGUGAAUCAUCGAGUCUUUGAACGCACAUUGCGCCCCCUGGUAUUCCGGGGGGCAUGCCUGUCCGAGCGUCAUUGCUGCCCUCAAGCACGGCUUGUGUGUUGGGCCUCCGUCCUCCUCCCGGGGGACGGGCCCGAAAGGCAGCGGCGGCACCGCGUCCGGUCCUCGAGCGUAUGGGGCUUCGUCACCCGCUCUUGUAGGCCCGGCCGGCGCUUGCCGACACAUCAAUCUUUUUUCCAGGUUGACCUCGGAUCAGGUAGGGAUACCCGCUGAACUUAAGCAUAUCAAUAAGCGGAGGA